UGUGCGGGGAUCGCUGGUCGGCAUGGGCUCAGUGGGCCGAAGGGCCUGUUUCUCUGAACUCAACAAACCUCAGUCCACUUUUUGAGUUUUAUUGAUCAGCUACCAUUUAGGUUUUAUUUAGUGGCACCUGAUUCAAAAGCAGUCCAGGGAAGAAUAUCGAAUCAAAUGUUUACUGUGCAUUCACGCUGAUCAUGUGCCAAAUAGAAUAAUCUAGAGCGGUGGCAAAUAUAGGUUCACUGUGCAAAUGCAAAUCAGAUUUCAGACACAGCUGAUUGGAGGUAGGGCUUAUUGCACACCCUUGUACAUCGCAGGUAGCCAGAACAGACAUCACUAGUCACCUUGUGUGCUCAGUGUGGAGAUGGGAACAUCUGCUUCAUGGACCUCUCCCUCCGAGCAGCAACUCAGGGCAGCCACUGUCCGUAAUACUUGGUGUGUUGUGGAUGCAUCUACACUGCCAGCCAGUUUGGGCAGUGUAGAGGUCCACAUCUGCACUAUGGGCCAGUUUGGGCAGUGUAGAUGUCCACAUCUGCACUAUAGGCCAGUAUAGAGGUCCACAUCUGCACUAUGGGCCAGUUUGGGCAGUGUAGAUGUCCACAUCUGCACUAUGGGCCAGUUUGGGCAGUAUAGAGGUCCACAUCUGCACUAUGGGCCAGUUUGGGCAGUAGAGGUCCACAUCUGCACUAUGGGCCAGUUUGGGCAGUGUAGAUGUCCACAUCUGCACUAUGGGCCAGUAUAGAGGUCCACAUCUGCACUAUGGGCCAGUUUGGGCAGUAUAGAGGUCCACAUCUGCACUAUGGGCCAGUUUGGGCAGUGUAGAUGUCCACAUCUGCACUAUGGGCCAGUUUGGGCAGUAUAGAGGUCCACAUCUGCACUGUAGACCAGUUUGGGAAAUGAGGGUGACCAUCUAUACAUUGCAGGGCAGUUUUAGCUGUGCAGAUGUUCACAUCUCCACUGCUGGCCAGUUUGGAAAGUCUGGAACCCCAUAGUGUGUGGGAAGGAACUGCAGAUGCUGGUUUUUACUGA